GAUGAACGCUGGCGGCGUGCUUAACACAUGCAAGUCGAACGGAAAGGCUCCUGCUUGCCGGGGUACUCGAGUGGCGAACGGGUGAGUAACACGUGGGUGAUCUGCCCUGCACUUCGGGAUAAGCCUGGGAAACUGGGUCUAAUACCGGCUAGGACGAUGGUUUGGAUGCCAUUGUGGAAAGUUUUGCGGUGUGGGAUGAGCUCGCGGCCUAUAAGCUUGUUGGUGGGGUAAUGGCCUACCAAGGCGUCGACGGGUAGCCGGCCUGAGAGGGUGUACGGCCACAUUGGGACUGAGAGACGGCGCAGACGCCAACGUGGGGCAGCAGUGGGGAAUAUUGCACAAUGGGGGCAAGCCUGAUGCAGCGACGCCGCGUGGGGGAUGACGGCCUUCGGGUUGGAAACUCCUUUCGCUAGGGACGAAGCGCAAGUGACGGUACCUGGAGAAGAAGCACCGGCUAACUACGUG
rnacentral:rRNA from 1 species